GAAAGGAUUUUUUCAAGAAUUACCAGAAUAGCCUCAUCCUUGUGGUGGGAUAACAUCUUCAUCCACACUUGGCAGAGGGGAGCUGACCCUGCUGACCCAGGCUGCAACACCUGAGAGAUGCCUGGAAGCUUUUGGGAUCUUCAUGUGUUAGCUAUGGGAGUGGGUCAAAUAACCCAUGGAUAUCCAACUCCUGUCCUUACUCUUUCCACUCUCAGCUGAAAUGGGAUGGUUUGCUGCAAAACCAGCCCUUGAAAGGCAGGUUUAAGGAUGACAAGACUGUCCUUCAUUUAUGAGACGGCUGAGUUCCAGUGUGGGGAAAUCCAAAUCUGCUGAAUUCCAGUGUGGUGUUGAUGGUGCCUUUCUGCUAGCAUUGUUUCCUACUAAUUGGUGUUCUUCCUGCUCCUGAAUCAUCAUAACUACUGGUGCCUUCCUUGAAAGUGUUGAUGUAUCUAACAUGGUUGAAGGUCUGGCACAGUGGCUCUGCCAUGUGAGAUGUUGUGGGGCAAAGUCACAGCAGCACUGGCACCAGCCAGAAAUUCUCUCCUCUGUUCCUGCAUAACCUUCCUUCUCCCACACUUCUAAAUUGCUCUAUGGAGAUGAUCCAUUAAGAAUCACAAUAAAGUUUGAACGUUUGAAUAACCUUUGAAAUUAUUGACAAAUUGGCCCCAACGGGCUGCUGAGGAGCUGAACGUAGAAGGAAGAGAUCGAUGGCAAUGCUGCAGAGACAAGGAUCCAGGCUGCACGAGAAAGGGGAUUUGCUGUAUGAUUUUUCAUGCUGCCACUGGAGCACAAGCAUGGCAGGAGUGAUGCAGUCUCACAGUGGACCUGUUUUCCUUCUCAUGUCCUUUUGGCAGGUGGGCUUCACCAGGUGCCUUCUCACAGCAGGGCCUGGGUUCAUCAGGAACUUUGGAAGCUGAAGCCACCAAGGGCUAUAACCCAGUGAGGGCUUAACAUAAGCUUGAAGCUUAUCUUGUGUGAACUUGGAAACUCCAAUACACCUCCUCAUCUCUGGGAUUUCACCCACCUCGUA